GGCCAACUGUGAUUACAAACGUCGCAUCGAAAAAGUGAAGACCAACAAAGGGGUUGUGCGAAACCUCAGGCUAACUCGGGAACAAUAUAUGAGGGUGAUUCCUUGGUGGUUAGCCAGGAAUGAACAGUGCUGGGACAUGAUAAUCGACAGGUGGUAUGCGGAAGGUUGGGUGGAGAUGCACGAGUCUUGCCGGCAGCGGCGUUUGAUGAUGCCAGGUGCACCGCACCAUCAGGGCAACAGUCACCUAUGACAGUACGCGGCCAGAUGGUCGGCCUCACAUGGAGGCGAGCCUUGCCCCCCGAUCAAGGCGUGGGCUUUGGCCCACAAAGGGAAGGCGACAUCGGAUGUCAACUACAACCCGGCGGACCCCCCAGAAGCGUACAGCCACGCGACUGUCCACAGUCGUCUCAGUGAGUACAACUCGAUGGCAACGAAGGUGAAUGGGCCGGACUUU